rnacentral:lncRNA from 1 species
AUUUGCCUGAGGCGACUACGGUGCGGGUGCCGGGUGCCGGGUGCCUACAGCCCCCAUCAGCUUCCCCGGGGAGAUUCUGCCGAUUUGUCACGAGCCAUGCUCAGGAGGCAGCUCGUCUGGUGGCACCUGCUGGCUUUGCUUUUCCUCCCAUUUUGCCUGUGUCAAGAUGAAUACAUGGAGUCUCCACAAGCUGGAGGACUGCCCCCAGACUGCAGCAAGUGUUGCCAUGGAGAUUAUGGAUUCCGUGGUUACCAAGGGCCCCCUGGACCCCCAGGUCCUCCUGGCAUUCCAGGAAACCAUGGAAACAAUGGAAAUAACGGAGCCACUGGCCACGAAGGGGCCAAGGGUGAGAAAGGAGACAAAGGCGACCUGGGGCCUCGAGGGGAACGGGGGCAGCAUGGCCCCAAAGGAGAGAAGGGAUACCCAGGGGUGCCACCAGAGCUGCAGAUUGCGUUCAUGGCUUCUCUAGCGACUCACUUCAGCAAUCAGAACAGUGGCAUUAUCUUCAGCAGUGUUGAGACCAACAUUGGAAACUUCUUCGAUGUCAUGACUGGUAGAUUUGGGGCCCCCGUAUCAG